AGACGUCCACAUUAGAUACCCCCUGUAGUCCCAGCCGUAAACUAUGCGCGUUAGGUGUAUCGGUGACCACGAGUCACCGAGGUGCCGAAGGGAAACCGUGAAACGUGCCGCCUGGGAAGUACGGUCGCAAGGCUGAAACUUAAAGGAAUUGGCGGGGAGCACCACAACGGGUGGAGCCUGCGGUUUAAUUGGACUCAACGCCGGGAAGCUCACCGGAUAGGACAGCAGAAUGAUUGCCGGGCUGAAGACCCUGCAUGACUAGCUG
rnacentral:rRNA from 1 species